AAUCAACGCUGGCGGCGUGCCUCAGACAUGCAAGUCGAACGCGAAAGUUCCCUUCGGGGGGCGAGUAGAGUGGCGCACGGGUGAGUAACACGUAGGUAAUCUACCUUUGGGUGGGGAAUAACAGCCGGAAACGGCUGCUAAUACCGCAUAAUGCAGCGGCUCGACAUCGAGACAGUUGUUAAAGGCGGGGGAUCGCAAGACCUCGCGACCUAAAGAGGAGCCUGCGGCGGAUUAGCUUGUUGGUGAGGUAAUGGCUCACCAAGGCAUCGAUCCGUAGCCGGCCUGAGGAGGGCGGUCGGCCACACUGACACUGACAUACGGGUCAGACUCCUAUGGGAGGCAGC
rnacentral:rRNA from 1 species